GAAAAGAAAGCAAAAGCGAUUUCCCAAGUAACGGCGAGUGAACAGGAAUAAGCCUAGCGCUAAGGCUCAAUAGGAUGGUCAGCAGCAAUGUUGGUCGUCGUUUCGACAAGCUAUUGAGCGGUGCAGCGUUACAAACCACGAUGUUUAGUAGUACCAUUGGUAGUAAGUUGGCAACAAUUUGCUACUCCUAGCCUAGCAUGCAAGUUCUAUUGAAUGGGACUAAUUGCAAAUGACUAAGCACUUGGGGCAACUUGAGUGUUUGGUUGAGCCAGAGCGGGUGUAAGCCCUAUACCGUGCAGGCAUUGGUACGACGAAUUGUGGAUGGGGUCUCCAAAGUGGGGCUCCAGCUUUGUUAGAGUCGAGUUGCUUGAGAGUGCAACUUAAAGUGCGAGGUAAACUACUCGUAAGGCUAUGCAAUACGGCUACGACACCGAUAGCAAACAAGUACCGUGAGGGAAAGUUGAAAUAGAACUUUGCAGAGAGAGUUAACAGGGCGUGAAACCGUUAAUUGGCAAACGAAUCGGAGCCACGAAGUCGUUUCGCUGGUCAAUCCAAGUUCAGUUUGGGAUAGCAAUAUCUCGGGCGUAUUCUUGUUGGUUGGCCAUUGUAAGCGUACACUGCAACCAGUUAGACAAUUGGCGAUGGGCCAAGUUGGGUAGAAGCCUCGGUGACUACUUAACGAAGUGCUUGUUUGCUCUAACUAGUAGUGAUAUUGUGUUUCUUCGGGAACAUGGUGUUGCUGGGUUAGAGUAAGUGAACUAUCACCAAAUACUGACUGGCACAAUGAAACUUGCUCUUAUGAGCGUGAUACACAAUGCGGCUACUCGUGUCUAAUGUCUACACAGUCAACCGUAGGGUUUAAGUUCGGCAUUUUUGAAUUUGGGCUUGCUUUCUACCAGUGGGGCAACUCCUGGUGUUGGUAUUGUCACCAUCUAAUCGGGUGUCGACUUGAUUUUGCGUUGUUUGGAUGUGCUACGAUUGGAUGUUAGAUCGAAGUGGUUUGCAAUUGA
rnacentral:rRNA from 1 species